CCCUUAGAUGUCCUGGGCUGCACGCGCGCUACACUGAUGUGUCCAGUAAGCACCUAACCUCUUCCGAAAGGAACGGGUAACCUUUGCAAAGCACAUCGUGAUGGGGAUAGAUUAUUGCAAUUAUUAGUCUUGAACGAGGAAUUCCUAGUAAGCACAAGUCAUCGGCUUGUGUUGAUUACGUCCCUGCCCUUUGUACACACCGCCCGUCGCUCCUACCGAUUGAAUGUUCCGGUGAGCUCUUCGGACUGCGCGGUCUGCAGUUUCUGCGUUCCGUGCGGAAAGUUGCGCAAACCUUAACAUUUAGAGGAAGGAGAAGUCGUAACA
rnacentral:rRNA from 1 species